rnacentral:rRNA from 1 species
AUCGAUGAAGAACGCAGCGAAAUGCGAUAAGUAAUGUGAAUUGCAGAUUUUCAGUGAAUCAUCGAAUCUUUGAACGCACCUUGCGCUCCUUGGUAUUCCGAGGAGCAUGCCUGUUUGAGUGUCAUUAAAUUCUCAACCCCGAUCGGAUUUGUUUUCGAUUCGGAGGCUUGGAUUGUGGAGCGUGCUGGCCCCUACCCCGGGUCGGCUCCUCUUAAAUGCAUUCGCGGAAUUGACUUUGGUCCGUUUCGGUCAUCAGUGUGAUAAUCAUGUUGCGCUGUUGGCUAGGAUCGAGGUGCCGCAUACAAUGGUCUUCGGACAACUCUAUAUCAAUUUGACCUCAAAUCAGGUAGGACUACCCGCUGAACUUAAGCAUAUCAAUAAGCGGAGGAAAAGAAACUAACAAGGAUUCCCCUAGUAACUGCGAGUGAAGCGGGAAAAGCUCAAAUUUAAAAUCUGGCCGUCUCCGAUGGUCCGAGUUGUAAUCUGGAGAAGCGUUUUCCGCGUCGGACCGUGUACAAGUCUUCUGGAAUGGAGCGUCAUAGAGGGUGAGAAUCCCGUCUCUGACACGGACUACCGAUGCUUUUGUGAUGCGCUCUCGAAGAGUCGAGUUGUUUGGGAAUGCAGCUCAAAAUGGGUGGUAAAUUCCAUCUAAAGCUAAAUAUUGGCGAGAGACCGAUAGCGAACAAGUACCGUGAGGGAAAGAUGAAAAGCACUUUGGAAAGAGAGUUAAACAGUACGUGAAAUUGUUGAAAGGGAAACGCUUGAAGUCAGUCGCGUUGGCCGAGACUCAGCCUGGCUUGCUAGGUGUACUUCUCGGUCGACGGGUCAGCAUCAGUUUUGACCGCCGGAUAAAGGUUGGAGGAAUGUGGCAUCUCUCGGGAUGUGUUAUAGCCUCUGAUUCGCAUACGGCGAUUGGGACUGAGGAACUCAGCACGCCUUUAUGGUCGGGGUUCGCCCACGUAACGUGCUUAGGAUGCUGGCAUAAUGGCUUUAAGCGACCCGUCUUGAAACACGG